rnacentral:lncRNA from 1 species
UGUUUUUUUUCUCUUUUGUCAUUUUGAUUGUGAGAGGGAGAUGUAGGAGGGGAGUUCAAGCUAGAGAGAAAUAUAGAGGUAACGUGAGAGAGUAAGGAAAAAUAGAAGAAGAAGGCUCAAAGCUUCAAGGGAUCCUUUCAUGGUGUACGUAGGAUAUCAAGUCGGGGAUAUAGUAAGGGAAAUUAUGAACUCAUAUUCAUCUUCUUUCAUUGACUAACCUAUCUUGAAUUUAGAACCAAGAGCCAAGGUGGGGUUCUUUUGUAAGUUAUGAUUUUGAGUAGUAGCACACUAGAAUGCUUGCAUGAUAGGUUAGAUUGAUGAAAUUUUACGUAGAUUUUCUUUAAUUCACAUUAGGUUAGGAUUUACUUGUAUCCAAGUACUGUUAAAAUGCCUAAGUUUGAUGUUAAAUACUGUGAUUGGCAAGGAAAAUAGUUUUGUUUGGACUAUGUUGCAGGAAGCGAAUGAGGAAAAAAAUUGCAGGAAACUCACACCUGGAAGAAUUACUACCGUAAUCUUAGAUUACAUGUAUCCCAUAGUUAUCUAUGCCUCGUGUGGUGGGGAGCUCUAAAGGAAUUAUGGUCGCAAUGUCAAAUUACAGGGCACCAAUAGUUCCUUCUAUUGUGUUCCAAAAAUAUCACAUUUCCAAGCUUCAAAGCCUCACUAAUGAUAGAGGGGAUGAAAACCUUAAGCCUUCUAGUAGUGUUAUCAUUAGAACCCUAAGAAAGGAACAAUGAUUCAGGUUAAUACCUUAGUCGUACAUGUAUAAUUGCUAUACGGGUAAAGGUCUUAUCCAACAAAAAUGACAAUAUAACUAACUGAAUACAUAUAGGGAGUGACAUGUUUCAUUGCAUAUAUCAAUUGUAUAACCCGAAAGCUACACUAGAGUCUCACAGAGUCAUAGUGGGAUGUUGAUGAUCCUAUAAACUAGACUCAGAUUAUGAGGAAUUGUCGCAGUUAUGAUUUAUUAGUUCAUAUAUGUGUAUGGGAUACCAUGUUAUGUCUCUAUAGUGUAUGGUAUUAAUUAUAUCGUGAAUUAUUUAUGGGAGGUCUCGAGUAUAUCCAGUACUUUUGGUUCUUUUGUUGGUAGUGGUAGUACUGUAAUUGGCCCCAAAGAGAAUUUAUGGUUGUAGUAAGAACUCUAUUGAGAUUUCUCACUUCAUUAUUUUCUUACAAAUAAUCAUGUGUCAAGCAAAGGAAAGCAAAAGAUUACUCGAAGAGGAUGCUUAGAUGACUACGUGAAAGUAUAAUUAUUUAUCAUCUUUUUCAAAAAAAAAAUGAAAAAUUAUUGGAAUGUACGCAUUGAAAUACAAUAUAUAAUUUGUCUCUCAGUUAAUAAAAUUUAAUAUUUAAUUAUAUCAUAUUAAUUAUAUUAUUUAUUUAUAAAAUACAUUAACUGUAAUUUUAUACAUGAUUUUUUUAAAAUAAUUAUUAAAAAAAUCGUUGGAACUUACCAAAUAAACAUUAAAUUGAUAUUUGUCAUUAAAGAUUUGAUUUAGUGUAGAUUUUUGAAGAUUUGAUUUUUUUUUAACAUAUUCAUGACAUGCCAUAUUCAUCCAAUCAUAUCUUUGUAGUAACUGUAAAAAUCCUAAGAACGGUUUCCUGUUUUAUUUUUUUAAUUUUUCAUUCAAAAAUGCUGAGAUAUGUCUAAAUCUUAAAAACAAAAAAUCAGAAUCUUAGAACAAUAGAGCAAUUAAUGUCAUAAAUCUUUAGUUCCUAUCCACUUAGACUCAUAAAGCUUUAUUUAAAAGAGAGAGAGAAAACAACUUUGAUUCAUUAUCCGUUUUGUAUUUCUUGAUACCUUUUUAGAAAAACAUUAGAUACAUUCACUUGUCAUCAUUGUCGUUGUCUUGAAUUCAUUAUCAUAUUCCAUCUCUUUCAAAGGUUUGAACUUUUCUUAACUUGCUUGUUUUCAUAUAUAAUCUCAUCUUAUUUUGUUUCUUUUUUUUUGGUUAUUACUUGAAGUUACUACAAUGGGGAGUUAUAUGAGUAAAAAGAUUUCAAAAACAUCGUCUAGGGGUCAUUUCACAACGACGCUAUCUUCUGGUGGUGUUGAAGUUCGAGCUCCUUCGUUCGAAUCGCUAAAACAAAUUAUAGAAAGUCUUCUAGAGAUGAAUAAAGAAGUUGUGAGAGUAAUCUUGGAGUGCAAGAAAGAUGUAUGGAAAUGUGAAGAACUGUUUGAAUUAGUGGAAGAGUAUUUCGAAAACAGUUUGCAAACAUUGAAUUUCUGCACCGCAUUGGAGAAGUGUUUAAAAAGAGUUAGGGAUAACCAAUUGCUUGUUCUUGUAGCGAUUCAACGGUUGGAGGAAGAAUCUGAAUCAGGAGAGAAAUGUUAUGCGAGAACAUUACAAGAAUUGAAGAAUUUUAAAUCAACAGGUGAUCCUUUCACCGAGGAAUUCUUCCAAAAUUUUCAAUCUGUUUACAGACAAGAGAUACUAAUGGUUGAGAAACUUCAAGUAAGAAAGAACAAGCUUGAUAAGAAACUGAAAUUCAUUCAUUCAUGGAGGAAAGUUUCAAGCAUGAUAUUUGUGGCUGCAUUUGCAGCUGUUUUGAUAUGUUCUGUUGUGGCAGCAGCUAUUGCAGCUCCUCCUGUUGCUGCGGCGUUAGCAUCCGCUGCAGCGGUCCCUAUCGGUUCGAUGGGAAAAUGGAUUGAUUCACUAUGGGGAAAGUAUGAAAUUGGAGUGAAAGGACAAAAAGAAGUUCUUGGUUCAAUGCAAGCUGUUACAUAUGUAGCUGUUAAAGAUUUGGACAAUAUUCGCGUACUUAUCGGUCGGCUUGAAAUUGAGAUUGAAUCUUUGUUGCAUAAUAAGGUUGGUUUUGCAAUUGAACAAGAGGCUGUGAAGAUUGCAAUAGAGGAGAUAAAGAAGAAGCUUGGUGUGUUUAUGAAGAAUGUUGAAGAUUUAGGAGUUCAAGCUGAUGUUUGUAGCCAAGACAUUAGGAGGGCAAGGACGGUUGUGCUGCAGAGAAUCAUAAAAGAACCUAUCAUUUGAAGAGUUAUGUUAUUUGUUGUUGUUUUUAAUGUUUAGAAAACACAUAUUUUUAGUUUAUAUAUUGUGACUUGUGUGUGACUUGUGAAGUUUACUAUAGAUUUGUGCUAAAGGUAUAUAAUGUAUUAGGACAUAUAUGUAUUCACACUUGCAAAUAUAUUAGUUUAUCAUAUGUGUUGUUGUAUAUUGAAAAAAAUAAAAAAUUUAAUCAAUUAUUGUUGUUAUUUUUGUUUAGAAAAAAAAUAGAUCUUUGAAUAUGCUUUGUAUAUUAAAAUAAAUUAAAAAAUUUAAUUAUUUAUUUAUUGUAUUUUAGAAGAAAAAAUAGAUUACUUCAUAUGCUUUAUAUAUUUAAAAAAGUCAAAUGUGUAAUCAUUUACUGUUGUUAAUUAUUUUUUAAAUUAGAGUGUGCUUUAUAUAUUUGAAAAAUGAUAGGAAAAAAUAGAAUUUAUAUGCUUUAUAUAUAUUUAGAAAAUCAAAAUUUCAAUCAAUUAGUAUAUUUAAUUGUUGUUAGUGUUUAGAAAAAAUAGAUAUUAAAGCAUUUAUAUAUAAUUACAUAAUUUGCCAAUUAGCUGUUAUAUAUAUAUAUAUAUAUAUAUAUAUAUAUUGGAAUAUAAAAGAAUUUAGAUUUUUGAUAGAUGAAAAAGGAAUGAAGAGAUUAUUUUGUAAUUGAUGGUGACGAAAUUUUCUUUAUUGAUCGCAUAUAAUGUUUUUUACACUGUGUGUUCCUUUUCAAGUUAUAAAGUUAUGUACGAAUCACAUUCAAGAGUUACAAAUAUGGGAUAUUUAUACACAAAGAUAACUAACUUAUGCUCAAAGUAUUCCUAGUCGAAUUCCCUAUAACUGAGCUUGUGACUUGUCAUCAUCGACACAAAAGCUUCUUCAAUUCGUCAAACCUUGUCUUCUUCGAAAGCUUUGUAAGCAAGUUUGUUAGUUGCACUUCAAAAUUGCAAUACUUAAGCUCAUUCUUCUCUUUGUUUAUUUGAUCUCUCAGAAAAGUGAUACAUCUUUUCGGUGUGCUUUCUCCUUGCACGGGACAUAAGACGGUUGGCUAAGUCGAUAGUUGACUUGUUAUCUACAAAUAAAUCCAUCUUCUUUAACUCAGUCACUUUCAGUUCUUCCAGCAGCAUUUCGAUCAAUGCGACAUGACAAGCUGCAUAGAAUGUUGCCACAUAUUCAGGUUCACACGAUGAUAAAUCCAUUAUCCCUUGCUUCCUCGAGCUUUAAGAGAUUGGUGUCCUACCAAUCAUGAAUAUGUAGCCUACAAUACUCUUCAUUUCGUCUUGAUCUCUAGUAGGAUAAAGUGAAUAUCACUUUGGAACAGAUGCUUAGGACAUGUUUUGGAUCUAAGUAAAUGGACAUUCAGCAUUGAGUAAAUGUCUUGAGAAUUUUAGUUUUUAUGGGUUGUGUAUAAAUGAAGAAGGAAAGAUUCAUAUUAGAGUUGUUAAUUUUGUUUUUAAUUUCAGCAUUUGAUUCCUUGAUUGUAUUAUACGUGGAUUAGGCACAUAGCAAGUAAGAACAUGAUGAGCUAAUAUAAAUACGGGUGCACUCUUCUCUAUCUCUCUCCUUUAGUUUUCUGCAUAGUUUACAUGUUAAGAUUUUUAUUUCUUCCCUAGAAUCGCAUGUUGUUAACCUUUAUCUACUUAUAAUGAUUUGCUAUAUAAGUGUGGGUCUAUAAUUGAUUAAAUCAUCUAGUUCAUCUUUCUAGUGAUUAAUUUUGUUUAUAAUUUAUAAUAUUAGAUUAAUUUAUUGAUGAAUAAAAUUCAAUUUAGACACUUCGCUCAAAUUGAAUUUGUAUUGAUUAAUUCAUUAAUUGGUUAAGAUUUUCAUCAUUUCACAUUUUAUUGUGUCAUUUAAACAUUGUGUAAUUUGUGAUGUCGAUCAAACACAUACUCUAUUAAAUUUCAACUCUCCACAUUUUGAAAAACUCUAAUUUUAAAAAAUUAAUUUUUGAAUUAAUUUUAAGAAUAAAGUUUCUUCACCUCUCUAUAGGAUUUUUCUCAUUUAUAUUCUAUCCCGAUAAAAUUAUAUUUCAUAAACAAUUUCAAAAUAUUUAAGAAUUUUAUAUAUAUAUAUAUAUAUUAUAUAAAUAUUAUAUAUAUAUAUUAUAUAUAUCCCCUAAAGAUUAUGUAGCAUAGUGAAGUGUGUCACACAGAAGUUGAUGUAACAUACAAAAAAAAAGGUACCAUGGACAAAACAAAAAUGUGACCGUAGAUUAUAUGUACCAUCAUCACCAUUGAUUUACAUGUGGAACUUUUCAUAUGUUUUUUUUCCAUCAUAAUAAUUCACACAAACAACAAGCACAUCAAAAACAUCGAAUUUGAACACAUGGUACAUUCAAACACCACGCAUUCUCUAUUUUUAUUUCUUUUUCUUUUUGUACUUGUCUUUUCUUCUUAUCCUUUAUUUUUAUCAAUUCACCCCCAUAAUAACAUUGUGACCCCCUUUCUAAUAUGGAAGAUUUUUUCUCUUUGGUUUUAAUUGAGGUAAUUAAUCAAUUUAUUUUUCACUUAUUUUAAUGCAAGAAAAUAAGACUAGUAUAUGCUUUAAUUUUUGUUUAAAAAUCUUUAAAUGACAGAAAACACAAUAAUAUAUUAUUUAUAAUACUCAUCACAAUAAUAUGUAUUUAUAAUUGAUGAAACUUAACAAACCUUUAACGUGUCAAAAAUAUUGUUAGAACAAGAUUUAGUUUUACAUCUAUAUCUUGAGUUUUGCUGAUAAGAAUCUUGUAUUUGUGUGAGAAUAAUUUUGGUACCCUAAUGGUUUGUUAUUGUGUAGCUUUAACAACCAGUUCUCAUUAUGAGUAUAUGACGUGCAAAGUCAUCAAUUUAUGAACAUUGUGUUCUAAAUUAUGCUUUUGCGUUAAUCAUGAGAAGUUCUGAAAGAUGUCAAGUUGAUACUGCAAUAUUUUUUUCCUUCUAUGUUGAUUCACUCCUAAGACGUUUCUGAGAGACGCUAGGUUCCUGCUGCAACAUUCUCUCCACUUCUGCUUAUGGACGUGACUCUGAUAAAUCAAGCUUCUGAAUUUUUGUUACUAAGCUGAAGAUUAUGAAGAUCUCAAGCCAGACGUUGAGGUUAUCAAGGUUCUGACUAUAGAUUCUGAAGACUCUAAAGAUUCUGAAGAUACUGAAGAUCUCAAGUCAGAUUGCUGACAUUGUCAAGAUUCUGACUGAGGAUUCCGAAGUUUUUUAAUCCAGUUGUAUGUUUCUUCAUUUCAUGUUUCAUCAACUUUCAUCAGAAGCCAAUGAGCUUGAAGAUAAGAUUAAAUGGGUAUGUGACCAAAUAGUACAUAUUACAAAUCAAAUAUUAUUUCCAUUACCUAAUAUCGUGGGCAAGGACAGUACUAUUCAUCACACGUGUCACUGAAUUUGUGGGCGAAGGACAAUACGUAGUAUCACUCCUUUCACAUGUCCAACAGUGGACAGGCGCUCUAUUUGGUUUCCCCAUUUUUCCCUCCAACGGUCUCUUUUCUUAUGCUAUAUAAGUGGGACUUAGAGACUUGAAGAAAAUGCUGAAGCGCUACAACAAUUUGACAAGUCUAUUUCUUUAUGAAAAACUACUAAUUUUGUACACAAUUUUUCUUUAAGUGUUUGUAAUUCAUUUGUGUAAAAUCUACUUUUGUAGAAGUAACUUGUAACACAUAAAAUAUUAUUCAAACUAUUGUUUGAUUUUGCUUAAGGAGACUAAGGUAUAGUCAGAUCCUUGAGAAGACAAAGAAGGUUAUUCUUUGUGAUUCCUUAAGGAGACUAGGAUAUAGUCGGAUCCUUGUGAAGACAAAGAAGGUUAUUUUUUGUGAUUAUUGUAAUCAGUUGAUUAAGUCCUUGUGUAUAAGGCGAAAUCACCUUGGCGGGUGGACUGGAGUGGAGUAGCUUUGAGUCUCAAGCGAACCAGGAUAAAAAUACUUGUGUUUUUAUCUCUUUGUUAUUAACAUUUAAGUGAUGUUUUUGAGUUGGUAAAAAACUUUUGUUUUUAAAAAAACCCAANCCCCCCAUUUCUUGUGUUUUUCACACCUUCAAAUACAACCUUUUAAUAAUCAGAUAUAUGAUAAAAAUAACCAAGUCUGGUACACAUGAACCAAAUGAAUCAGACUUGAUGCCCUAUGAAUAAAAACUUCUUGCUAGAUUCAAUCCACGUCAUCGCCUUUAGAGCUAUGACACAGAUGGUCAGACCUCUGUUAGACAGAUGGACCACCAUAAGAACACCCAUAGCUCCAAUUUCUUCCAUCGACAUUCUUACUGAUUUUCAUCACUCGAGAUUUUCUUUCUCUUCAACAGUUGUGAUUUUAAGGCAUACUUCUACAAUUCUACACAAUGACUUGAAAUCGUGGUGAUUAAAAUUUACCCAUCAAUCACCUUUUUAUUCUCUUUGAUUUGAAUCGUCAUUCAACAACUUUGAUCAAGUUUAAGCCAUGAUUGAACCUUGAUCUUGUCACUUGCAUCCACUUGAUUUCAACCACCUUUUCAUGCUUAGGUAAUCUAACAAGCCCACAAACAUGGUUGCUUAACCAUAUUUGACUCCGCCUGAUUUUGAAUGCCUCUGUGUAGGUCCAUGUUUAUGAAUUUUGCAACCCUUUAGUCAUAUUCAAAGCAUAACACCCAAAGUCAUCCUAAUUAUACCUUUGAGAUGGUAUAAUCUCCUUUAUUACCUUAUUAUGAGUCAAAUGAUAAUCAGAGUCCUCUAUAAUCAUUCUUUCACUAGUACUAGUAUCCGUAGAAAAAACCUGCACCUUUUUUGUCAUAGUUAAUAAAACUUUCAUCUUUAUGUCUUUGCCCUUCCUCCCAUGGCACGACGCGCUAAAAAUAAUACAUUUGCGAAUGAUAAACUUUGAUCCUCUAGAUUCUACUUUCCACAUUCAUAACCCUUCCCACAUUGUGGAAGAUAAUUAACGUAAUUCACAACCUUAUCAUCAAACUGGAUAGGCUUGAUUUGUGCAAUAGGAAAAAAUUUGACGACCUUCAAAACAUUGUAGGUUAUAUUUUUCCUACUCUAAACUUCCAUAAGUGUUUGGCAGUUUAUUCUUGUAAAUGAGCACUUGUCGACCAGUAAGUUGGUUUGGCACCAGCUUUACCCCAUAAACUUAAUAACAACUCAACAUUUAAAUGGGUUAUUAUCCAUUGUCUUCUAUAAAUCUCAUUAAAGUGAUUUGAAACAAUCUCAUACAUUUAUCAUGUAUUGGCCUCAAAUUCUAAGUUUGUUUUAGUCAUGAAAGUCUUCACUAUCUGAUAAUGAAUGAACAACAACAUUGAAACCUUUUAAAAUAUAUAACUCACAUAUUUUAUCUCCUUUAGCCAUGAUCAUUCCACCAUGCAUAAUCUUCAAUAUCCCAUGUUCAACUCUAGUGCAAUAGUUUAUAACAUCAAACAUACAUAUGGAUAAAAAAUUCUGCAGAAGCUCUAAAACAAACCUCACAUUAUGAAGAAGAAAUCAUGAUCUUCAAACAUUUUAAGUCUGAACGUACAAAUAACAUGAACCUUGCAAGUCUUAUGGCCACCAAGGUGAAUUACUCCAUUUUUCUCCAACUUAAAAGUUUCAAAAUAUUAUUUUCUUUGACACAUGUGAUAAGAGCAACCUGAGUCCAUGAUCCAAGUCUCUUAAGCCUCCAAACUCGACACCACCAAUGCACUAACAUUCUGAUGACUAUCCUCAUUUGGCGCAACUACAAUUUGAAGACAAUUAUUAUUUCCUCACAUCUCUAGAAAAUCCCUCAAGAAGUGAUUGGUUUUAUGACAAGUGAAGCAUUUUGAUCUUGAGUUUUCAAAUAUCUUUGAUUUUGACAUCUCUCUACGACCAUUUCUUCUUCUUGAGACACGCAAGCCUUCCUCGUCACUAUUUCCAAUCUUCAAACCUUUAACCUUUGAAAAUUACAUGGAUAUCACAACCAUCUAGACUUCAUCCAAAAUAAUAAUAUAUUCCUUACCAUAAAAUGGCAACCUUGAAGUGGUCAAAGAAUCUGAGUAAUGAGUUUAAGAAGAGUACAACUUAGUUCUCAUCAUUAAUCUUCACUUAAAUAUCUCCAGAUCAUCAAUGAUCUUCUUAAAUUCUAUCAAUUGAUCCACUGUGGAUAUAUUCUAUACCAUUUAGAAUGAGAAAAAUUAUUGUUUCAGAUACAAUCUAUGAGCCAAGAUAUGAUCAUAUACAAUAAUUCAAAAUUUACCCACAUCAAAAUCGUAGUUUUCUCCCUAACGACUUUUCUUAGAACUUUAUCACGAGACAUAAAAUAAUGACAUCCCUGGUUUUAUCCACCAUCUUUAUUUUCUCAGCUUGUGUUAGGUGUGCAACCAUCGAUGCAUUACCUCUCAAUGCUUCAUUACACUUCUUAUGGGUUAAUAUUGUUUGUAUCUUCACUUUCCACAAUCCAAAAUCAUUGUCAUCAAAAAAAUUCUCGAUUCGCCUUUAGAAACCAUGGUUCUCACUUGUAAAUAAUUUUUUUGUUCCAUGAUGGAAACCAUUUGUUGUAAAAACUCUAACAAAUAUAGUGAAUUUGUUGAUAACUUCAAGAAAUUUUAUAAGUGGGACAAAGUACAACGACAACCAAAAUAAAUUAUCAUAAGCAACCCAAUAACCUGAUAACUUGCCAAAAGUGAAGGUAAAUCCACAAUAAGCAAGAAGAAAAUAAAAGACAAGAACACAAAGAAACUUGUUUACCCGAUUUGAUCAAACUGAUUUACUCUGAGGAAGAGAACUAUUCUCUGCUUCACUAUACUUCCAAAAAUCAUUACAAAAAAUCAAAAAGAGUUACAAAAAAUAAUCAACAAAUUCUUAAGAACUUACCAUAUUUUCUAUCAAAGUGUUUAUUAAUCUCUCAAAUUCUUUAUAUAUGAAUCAUGUCCAAUGCCUUUAGAAGUUUUUCUCAAUCCUUUUAAAUAACUAUAAAGAAUUCUUAAAUUUCAAAAACAUAAUCAUAAAAAUUUCUCUAAAUAUCUUAUGCGGCUCUAGCAUCUUCCGCGGACAUGCUUACUAUUUUUUCAAUUUUCUAAUUAACAUUUUUAAAACAUAUUUUAUUUUUCUUCUUCACUUAAAGUUUUAAGUCAUAUGUAUCAUUAUCAGUUUUUUUUACUUCUUCUAAUUUGUUUUUAAUUUCCAUUUUUUAUUAAUUUUCUAAUUUCCUUUUUAUUAACAUAUCUUUUUAUUAACAAUUUUUUUUUUUUACUUUUUUAUUUUACUCUUUGGACAUAACACAACACCGACAUGACAUUAUUACCCAAAAUUUCCUUUAAAGAUUACGUGGCAUAGUGAAGUGUGUCCGGCAGAAGUUGAUGUAACAUGCAAAAGAUGUACCACACACAAAACACAAAUAUGACCAUACAUGUCAUAUGUACCCUCUUCACAACUGAUCAACACGUGGAACUUUUCAUAUGCUUUUUUGUCAUCAUAAUAAUUCACACAAACAACAACAUUGAAUUUCAACACAUGAUAUGAUACAUUCAAACAUCACUCUUUCUUUCUUCUUUCUUCUUUCUUCUUUCUUCUAACUUCUAAACACCUUCUCAAUUUUUCUUUCUUUUUCUUCUCCAUAAUAACAUUGUGAGCCACUUUUAAUGGACCUUACUCUUAAGCUUUCUCCUUGCGGUGAAAAUGUGGAAGAAAGGAAGUUGAUAAGGUCUUCUUCAUUGGUGGGUGGAGAGAUAAGAAGUGUUAGUGUUUCGAAUUGGUGUCCAUUUGGGUCAUCUAUAGAGAGAUCUUCAUCUCUUCCAAUUGAUGGUGGGGAGAGAAUGGUUCUAGAGAGGCAGAGAAAGGUGGCAGCUUCAGAGCUUCAUGGUAAGUUUUCAAUGUUUGAUAUGAUUUUCAAAAUGCCAAUUUCUAAAAUUGUUUUUAAUCUUAAGAUUUGUAUUUUGACAAUUACUUGUGUUUUACUUAGCUAUUCUCGUAUGCAACACUGACACCUAGACUGACACAUACAUGUGAUUAGGAUAACUUAUGUUCAAUGUUUACUGUCGUGUCUGGUAUGUGCGCGCCGGUGUCGUGUCUGGUAUCUGUGUUAGUGCUUCAUUGUUCAUAUGUCAUAUAAUCCUUUGAUUUGUGACACUUUGGGUCAUGAUUUUAAAUUGUGGUCGGAGUGAGAUUGUGAUCAUUGCGGUUAGGUGCAUUGUGGUCAUUGUGGCUGUUGCAAUAUGAAUUUUGACCGUGACCGGAAGGUGUUUGAAAUACAUAGAUGAGAACUUAAAGUUAAAAAAAUUUGUUAUAUUAAAAGAAAAUUGAAUUUGAUGUUCUAAAAUUUUGAUUUUUUGAUGGAAAACUUAACAAACAUGGGUAAAAUUGUAUUGUUUGAUGUGGUUCAUAAUGUGGUCGCACUCAGGAUUUAAAAUCACUGCAAUUGUAGUCUGAUGCGGUUGCGGAGACUACCACAUCAUCAAUAUUACGGCCGCAAUUGCUGAAGUUAGGGUUGCAAACUCCAAUGCAUUAGGUGAUUACAUAGUUUUUGGGACUACCUAACUGAAUUACAACUGCAAUUGUGACCGCAUUGGCCGCAUUUGUCUGUAUUUUUCUGCAAUAUCAAUGUUUGCGUCAUAACCACUCUACUACCGCAAUUUAAAACCAUUCUAAUAUGACACUCUACAACCGCAAUUUAAAACAUUUCUAAUCUUUCUUUGUUAUGUAAAUUCAUUUUUGUUUCCUCGACAUGUUUGGUACCAUGUUGAAAAACCGACGAAAGUGCUUCAAAUAUGCACUUUAUAAGCUCAAAUAAGUGCUCAUACAACAUUUCAUAUGUAGGUCCAAGAAAUUCAUCUGAAGGAGUAGUUGCUUCCAGUUUCCAGAUAUCAACCAAACACGAAAACAAAUCAACGAUUUUCCCGAAAGCGACAAUCAAGGAAAUUCCAGUUCCGCCUAAGUCUACCGAUACUAAGAUUAAGAAUCAAACAAAAAAGCUUAAUCUCCCUAACUACUGCAGUCUUAAGGGUGAUGUGAUGGAGAAACUGAGACAAAUGCCGACCGUAACAACGACCGGAGACGGACCAAACGGUAAGAGAAUAGAAGGCUUUCUUUACAAGUAUAGAUCCGGUGAAGUUUGUAUCGUAUGCGUCUGCCAUGGUAGCUUCCUCACACCAAAAGAGUUUGUGAUUCAUGCUGGUGGAAAAGAAGUGGCUAAUCCAAUGAAGCAUAUCACUGUUUAUCCUGUCUCAUUUUAGAGAUCAAUGGUAACAAUGUCGAUUAUUUCGGCUUUCUUAGAAUGUAGAGGUACGUGAAAACGAUGAAAUUAUCUUUGAUUAGUUUAGCUUUAAUGAUGAUCAUAUUCAUUGUUCAAGUGGUUUGUGUAGAAGAAAAUCUUCAUCAGAAAAAUCUGUUUGUUAAAAGCUUUUCCUUAUUAGUAUUUCUUUGCAAUAUCAUUGACCCAUAAAAUACUAAACUACGAGACUCAAAUCACCUAAACUUUUAAUCAACAAAAAAAAACUAUGUUAUACUAUCGUCAAAGCGACGUAGGAACAGAGCCGUCUUAAGAUUUUGGAGGUCCUGUGUAGGUUAACUACGGUUCAACCAUGAUUUAACCGUGACAAAUCUAUCAUAAGGUUCUAUUUAGCCUCAAUUUAACUGUGGAAAAUUUGAGGUCUUGUGCUGUAAGCCUGUAACACUUUGCACACCCUCGAAGACGGUGCUGUAUAGGAAGAUUAUUUUCAUCGAAGCCAAGAGACUCUAAUGUGAUCUAGUGACAACAUGUGAAGCAAGAUAGCCAUCUGUUCUGGCAAGCAUUUGAUGCUGGUUUGGUGUUUUGAGCUGCUGGUUUGGUGUUUUGAGCUGCAGAUGGUGGUGCUGUUGCUUUCACAUUCUGUAGUUGCCCUGACUGCUUCAGCUGCUUUUUCGUGUCUUCGCCGUGUUUUGACGAAAGACGUUUUUCUCCAUCUGCAAAUCUUCACAUUACCAAAAAACAGUUAAACCUUUUUUCUCAAGAAAAUUAAGUCAAAUAAAGGCUUAAACCUCAUCAUCCCAGUGUUUUUGGUAUAUGUAGUACCAACUCCUCUGGAAAAAGGUGUGUCUGUGUUAGUAUCAGUGUCUGAAACCAAUACCGACACUUGUAAUUACGUUCGAUUUAUUCCGUUUUUCAAACUAUUACUGGUGUUAACGUGUUAGUGUAUGUGUCGUGUUUCUGGUAUCACUACUUCAUAGCAUAAAAGUAGUUAGUAACUUGAACUUACGAUUUAAAUGCGAAAGAUUGGGUGCUUCCAUUUGAAUGCCGAGAACGGUUAUUAUUAGAACAAGAAACUGUAUCCGAAUGCAUAGCCGCAUUAGAAAAUGUCGUAGAACCUUUACUUUUACUAUGUUCCGGUGUUUUACUAGUUUCCAUUAUAACCUCCAGCAUUGUCUCAGCCGCUUUUGCCUCGGUUACUUUCAAACUAUUUUCAUGUUGUUCGGCGAAAUUCGGGCUAAUAUCACUGAAUUUAGUGGCUUGUGUUUGAGGUGAAAGCGGAGGAUGAUUACUUUGAACACCACCAGACAUGUUCAUGUGAUCGACCUGUUUAUCCAAUUCAUCGGAUUUACUCAACCAAGCCAUGUCGUUCGAGAAACUCUUUCCCAUUUGAAUGCUAAACAAUGAUUCAUUAGAGGCACUGCUCCAUUGAGCAUUUAGUUUGUCUUUACCGAAAGCAUGUAAUGGAAUUCUCGGUGUUGAAGAUGGAGUUGCAGAACCAUUCUCUUGUCUUUCCAUUAUCUGCAUCGGAGGGUUUUGUAUCGUCUCGGGAACAAAAGAAACCGGUGAAGAAUUAUUUUGUUCAUGCUUUGGCAUUGAUCUUACUGAGAAUUCAUCAUCACUAGAUUCUGAAGCUAACAUGUUUUCCUUUCGCGAUUUUGGAUGUACAUGAGUAUCAUUCUCGGUGUUACUCGAAGCACUGGGAGAAUCGUGUUUGUGUUGCUGAGUUGAAGAUUCAAAACCUGUAGAAUGAAAAUCAUGUUUGUGUUGCUGAGUUGAUGAUUCGAAACCUGUAGAAUGCGAAUCAUGCAUGUUUUGCGGAGUUGAAGAUUCAUAACCUGUGGAAAAUGAUGAUACUGAUGAGUCUAACUUAUUAGCAACAUUUAGUGGUGGAAAACAGGCAUGUCCUUCCUGCAAAAAUCUAAAAAAAAACAGACGUGACAGGUAUAAUUGAGAGCACGAGUCUAAAAUAUUUUCCUAUCCCACGGAAAAUGAGUGCGGGACGGAUAUAUUAGAGUCUACGGGAUAAACCUUAGUUUGGUUCGUGAAAAAAAACGGGUUACGCCCGUUUUGCCACCUCUAGCAACAUUAUUUGUUGCAAAAUGAAAAAUUGCUUUUUGAGUUUCGACGACCAAUUUUAAAAAACUUUUCAAAUAUGUGGUUAAUGAAUAUAACAUGUGUUAAAAUUCGUUAACCGUGAAUUUUGACUUGAUUAACGACAACUUUUCAGAUAUUCAAUUUUACGCAUAGUUGAACACCUGAAAAUUAAGAUUGGAAGCACAUAUUUAUAGUUAAUAAAGUUACUUCAAUGGUUAAUGAGUUUCGAUAUCCGAAUCUACUAAUCGUAACUAACGACAUAUUUAUACCGCGUAAUCUGAUUGAAAAUGUAUUUGUGGAGAUAUUAUUACCUUUAUGGUUCUUGUGAGAUGCAUUUUCUAGUUGUUGAUUUUGUGUUGAUUCAAGUGGGAACAAAGGGUCAAAUGGUUGACUUGAGGAAGAAGCAUGUGUUGUUACUUCAUGAUUAGGAAACUUCCAAUGAUCUUGAUGAUGCCAAUCAUUACCAUGAUCAUGAUGUUCAACAAUCUUGUGAGAGUCAUGGAAGGGAUUUCCUAGUGAUGAUUCAUAUGUAGGUAGUUGAGGAAAAUUGGCCUCAAAAGGUGCAUGAUCAUGCAACUUUUGAGAUUCAUUUGUACCAUGAUCACUAAGUAGUAAAAAAGGGUUUUGUGGUGAUGAAAAUGAAGGGUCAGAGCUAUUUGGAUAAGGAGAAUGAAAUUCACCAAAAGGGUUAGCAAGAUUUGUUUGGUCAUUGGUGUGAAGAAAAGAUGCAUUUUCAUUAUGAGGUGUUGUAGUGGUUGAAUUUGGCAUAAAGUGAAUGUGAUCAUCAUGUGAAAGUUGUGGUUUCUUUUGUGAGUUAAGUGCUUCACUUGAACUUGAACUUGAAGGAAAUGUUCUAGGAUGAAUAUCAGAUCCACUUCCACUUUUAGAUUCCAUCAGCCAAUAAUGUCAAGUGAUUUUUAGGGUCUUGAUGUUCUGUAAAAACAAGAAUCUCAAUCAAAUACUAAGCCAUAUAUUUAAGAAAAAACAAGGAUUUGUUUCAACUUACAUGAACUUUUUGAACAAGUACACAACUACUUAGUUAAGAUAACUUAAAUAUAAAGUAACAUAAACAACAACAACUAUAUACAAUUUGUCUACAGUCGUCUCUAUCACGCUCAAGAUUAUUAAGUUUGGUGUAUAAAUAUGAAUGGUGGAAGAUCUAAUAGUAAAAACUUAAUAGAAAUUUCUAUCAUGCUUGAUACUAUUCGAAUUCGAUUUGGUGCAUAAAUAUAAAUGUUUGAAAAUCUUAUAGCGAAAAGCUAAUAGCAGAUUCUCUCACGUUGGUGCAUCAAUAUAAAUGGUAAGAGAUUUGAUAACGAAAAUCUAAUAGCAAUCUAUCACAUUCAACACUAUUAAGCUUGUGCAUCAAUAUAAUUAUGAAGCAUAGACAUCUUUAAGAGUAGGCAUAACACAGUGUUUGACACGUGUCGAUGUUCGACACUUGUAUGACACUCGUACAACACGUGUUGAAAAAGUCAGACAAAUAUCAGAAAAAAGUUGGACAAACAUUCUCAAAUAAAUGAUUUAUUUUCUUUUUUUGACAUUUUUUAAAUCAAUGUCUGACGUUCGUAUAACAUUCAUACAAUUAAACAUAUGUAUUAAAACAAUGUUAUCAAUAAAAAUUAAAGAGAAUAAUUUUGGUUAAGAUAUUUUUAAGUCGUUAUCUACAAGUUCAUAGAUUGAGUCAAUUAGGUCUAAAUUUUGAGUAAAAAACAAUUGAUUCAUACCAUCUAAAUUUUUCAUUUUGUUUGCAAUGUGCAUAAUUUUGUUUCCAACAACAUGAGAUACUAUCAUCAUUAAAGGAUUUGGUCUCUAUCUUAACAAAACGUUACUCAUACAACAAUGCAGUAUGGUUAUUUCUAGCAAUUUCAACAAAUGAUUUGGUCUAUAAAAAAACUAUAAUAACAAACUAAUUCCCUUAUCCCCUUCAUUAAAUAACUAAUUACAUUAUCAUGAUGUACAUAAAUAAAUAAAAGUUGGAAAAUAUCUACAAAACAUAAACAUGUAAUAUGUAACAUGAAGGAUUGUAGAAAUUAUGGAAAAAGAAAUAACACAAGAAUGCAUUGAUGCAAAGUUACCUUAAUCUCAGUUCCAUUACCUCAAUCUCAUGUAGUGGGAAAAAAAACAGGAAUCAGAAAAAUUGAACAAAAGUAAGAUUUGAGAGGAAAAGAGGUUGCAACAGAAAAAGGUUAAAUAAAGGAGAGGGCUUUCCACAAGUUUAGGUGUUUUCCUUUACUAACAUAAUUCCAUAGCCUCAAUUUAAUCUUUCAUUUUUUCCCUCAUUUUUAAUAUUUCAUAAAGAAAAAAUCUUAUUUUUUUAUAACUAUAAAAAAUUAUUUAUGUAAUUUAUUUAUGAAUUUAAAUGAUUUUUUACACUAUGGUUAAUCACAAUUAUUAGAUCAUUUGAUUUUUUACCAUAACUAUCAAUAAAAUCAUAUUCAUGGUUAUUGUUCUGGGUCGGCCAUAUCCUCGUCAAUCCAACCAUAUUUUCAGAUAUCCGACCCUUAUAAGGAAAGAACUUUCUAGAUUAAUCUAAUUCAGACAUGUUUCUUUUCUAGUCCGGCCACCUCCAGGCGUAACAUCCCGGAUCCAAUUCAAGUACAUACUAAAGCUUCUAGAACAUUCUCCUCACCACUAGACCUUUAGUGAUCUGGAAGCAGUGGAUUCCUCCCUCCAAUGCAUCCAACAGUCUUUCACAUUCUCGUUUGAAAGUUAGCAAGUUAGUUAUCUCUUCCCCUAUAUGUGGAUGACGUCAUUUCAGGUAAAAAGUUUCAAACACAAUUUGAAUAAUCUUUCAUCAUACACAUAUUGACUUGAGCGUCGGAUUGUUAACCUUGCAGGUACACCCCCCGCUUCGUCGCAACGGAAACUCUCUUAUACCAUAGCUUUUGUGACUACACAUAUUUCUGGUUCUAAUACGGAACAAUGGCGUCAUCUAUAGGAAUCGACUUCUGAUUUCCUCGUUUUCAUAAAAAACGAGUGAGCAUAAAUGACAACCUUAUGAAAACACUCAAGAAGACAGAUUCAGAUCCAGUUCCUCAUGUCUCACAUGUCGAUUGAUUUGCGCUGAGUACCGGUUCAGAGUUUCAACGAAAUAAUCGAUCAGAGUUAGGGUUCUUGCGCUGAGUACCGGUUCAGAGUGUCACCCUGGUGACGGGCUACCCGUCGUGCUGUCAAAAUGACGUUUUUGUCCCUAUUGCUUAGUUCGAGUUGUCAGUUCGGAAUUUCGAUGUCAUUUUAUACUUUAGUGGGUAAUUAUAUAUUAUUUGGUUGUAUUUGUGUUGAUUAAUUAAUUAUUAUGAAUUUAAUUAAUUAUGGUAGAAUUUCGUUGUUGAAUGAUAAUUGUUUUACUUACAUGUUGAUGUUUCUAUGGUGUUGGAGUUGUAUGGAAUACAUAUGAUGAUGUUUUAUAUUAUUGUGAAAUGGGUUAAAUACACUUUUCCCCCCUGUAAUGUUAGCGAGUUUAGGAUUACCCCCUGUAAAAAUAUUUUUUGUAAACCCCCCCUUAUGUUAUGUAGAUUCCUUCAUAGAACCCCCUAAUAUCCAGGUGGCAUGGAUCUAAUAAGAGGUCCUACACCUGGCAUAUUUUUAAUUUGUUAAAGUGAUUAUGUGUCAUUUUACACUUUUUAAUUUCAAAUACCCCUUAGAAAAUUAGGGUUCUGAACAUAGCAGGGAAGACGAAGACGAAAUUUCCAGGGGAAGACGAAGACGAAGAAGAAGAAUGCAGGGAACGAAGCAAACGAGAAAGACGAGAAGAUUUGAUGGUAAUUUGUGGGGUUAGGAUGCUGCGAUGGGGCUGGUGUUGAGUGCUGCAACUGGUAGAGGAUGGACAACGGGUUCGGGGAUGGAAGGGGCCUGUUCCUGCUGUUGGAAGGAUGAUCAAUUUGGACGGGGAAUAUUUCAACUUUUCCGUGGUCGCUCUUUACAAAAUUCCCGAGGGGAGGAUGCUUAUCGCUUUUACUUGUACCAUCUGUGGCCAGCGAACUACGCGGGCUAUUAAUCCUCAUGCGUAUAAUGAUGGAACUGUUUUUGUUCAGGUAACACUUUGUUUUUGUUCAACUAAGGUUUUUUCUGAAAUAGCUUAUUUUAAUAAGCUUUUUCUCAGAAUGGCCUAUUGAAAUAGCUUUUGCGAAGCUUACCAUCCAUCUGUUGUUCAAUUUAUUUUACCUCAAAUUCCAUUUUAAAAUGAAAACAAAUAUCUGCAAUGCAAUAGCUUGUCAAUGUCAACGCAUAUAUCAAAUUGGAAUAGAUCGCUGAGUUUAAGCAUUUAUGUCAUAAGCUCUCUGGUUUUUAUUUUGAUUUGUCUACAAACAUGCCAAAAUGUUAUUCUGUCAUGUGUGGUUCUGGAAGAUGCAACUGUUUUUGGGAUGUAGGAUAUUAUACACCAAAUCUUUUAGUUAUGCUGUAUCAUAUAUGACCAUAGUUUUCAGAUGGUAUAAUUUGCAUAUUGAUUGUGUAGCUGAACUGCUCAUAGUUUGGUUAAAUUACUUAUGCGAACUGCCAUGGAUUGCACGAGAAGGCAUUCAUCUGUAAACUGAAUCUUUAGGGGAAAUCCUGAAAGGUUAUUAAUGAUUUGAAGAUUAUAUUGGAAUAACAAGCUAACCAUUGGAGUCUGAAACUUAACCUCUGAAAGAUGACAAUCGUAAACUGUCAUGAAGUUGCAAGACUUCGGUUGGCCUUGUUAAUAUAGUACUUAUAAAUUUGAUAGUAUUAUGAUUUUAAUACUUUGAUGAUUUAUUUUUAUAAUUAAAACAUGUAUAUCAUAUUGUUUUCAACAUAUUGUUACAUAUUUGCACUCUAUGUAUGAAUGGCAAAGUCUACUUCAACCCUGCCGGUUGGUUUUAUAAUCUCAAAAUCAGCCCUAGAAAAAUGGAUGUGGAUAUUCUGGAGGGCCAAAUUUUAAUGCAGAAAGGAUGUAAAAUUGUAGUUGUUGAAAAAAAGAGUUAGAAUGUCAUGUUAAAUUUCAAAUGGGAACUGAAAGAAAAAAGCUAACAUACAUUGUUUUUCCAUUGUUGGCAGUGUUUGGAUGCAAUGCGUACCAUAAGCUCGUGGAUCACUUGAACUUGUUUCAGGAGACAAAUUGCUAUCUGAAUUCAAGUUUUAAUUAUAAAGGUCCUGGAUGGAUGAUCUUAAGUUCAGGUUCAUGGACGUUGAUAGCGACAGCGAUGAUGAUAUAUUCCCAGUUACAUGAGUGAAUUACCAGCUUAUGGAGUAUAUAUUUUCUCUGCACUCUGACUUAAGAAAUUUAGAUCAGUUGUAAUGUAUAUUGUUUAUGUUUUCAUGCUUAAUAGUAACAUUUGUUAGAGGAUGCUUUGUAUAGUAUAUGUGUAUGUAUAGCUUCGCAACCGAAUUGUACGAUCAUGAAUUUAAUCAUGUACAUACUUUGCAUAACUACUUCUUUUGUUGUAUGUAUAGCUCACACACUUAACACAAUCAUCCAUACAUAUAACAUACUAAAUAUUACAGUUCUUCACAGAAAGGAUGAUUAAACAACAUAAGUCUAAGGCUGUAAGAUAAUGUGGUUCAUAAAUACAUUACCACAUUCCCUCUUCAUAAUUGCAGAAAAUUCUGUGACUUAGCAGUGGUUCACCUGAUUACUAUUUUCAAAACCACUUCACUGAGUCAUGAGUCAUGUUUCUUUUUCUGUAAUUCACCUUUGUGUGUUCUUGGUGUCUCCGUGUGUCAAAGCAUAUAGAUGUCUUGAGUAGAAGUAGAACCUACACCUAAAGUAUGUUCAUUCUAUUAUUUUGCAACUUAUCUCUCACAGGUUAUGUACAACACUUUUUGGAGAGGCAAAAUGAUGAAUGAAAUAUAAUGUUUGUUGCUUCUGCGCAUAAAUAAUAGGCUGAUUUAUCUCCCCCCUCAGACCAAGGUGUCUGUGCAACGGUUACUACUAACUUUGUCGCCAACAAUAGGAGGCGCAGCACGAAUCAUAAGACUAUAGGAAAAUGCUGUCAU